AAACUUAAAGGAAUUGACGGGACCCGCACAAGCAGCGGAGCGUGUGGUUUAAUUCGUUGCUACACGAAGAACCUUACCUGGGUUUGACAUAUAGGUUGUAGGGAACUGAAAGGGACCGACCCUUCGGGGAGCCUAUACAGGUGUUGCAUGGCUGUCGUCAGCUCGUGUCGUGAGAUGUUCGGUUAAGUCCGCUAACGAGCGCAACCCUCGUCGUAUGUUAUAUGUGUCAUACGAGACUGCCGGUAAAAGCCGGAGGAAGGUGAGGAUGAUGUCAAGUCAGCAUGACCUUUAUAUCCAGGGCUACACACACGCUACAAUGGUCUGUACAAUGGGUAGCCAAGCCGCGAGGCGGAGCCAAUCCUGAAAGCAGGCCUCAGUUCAGAUUGCAGUCUGCAACUCGACUGCAUGAAGCCGGAGUUGCUAGUAACCGCAGGUCAGCAAUACUGCGGUGAAUACGUUCCCGGGUCUU
rnacentral:rRNA from 1 species